UUCUAGGACAACGACAACCUCAGCGUUGCCAUUUUUGUUUCAUCUUCUAACAGUGAUCAUUCUUUUAGAGACGUAUAUAAAAGACCUAUCAAUUCCAACAUGCAAGCUCAACUCAUCCAGAUUUGUAACCAUGCAAUCAAGAAAUUUUAACAGUAAGCAUACCUUCGAUCAGGUCCAGCCCCAGCUGAAACAGUAUCACUAACAGUAAGAAUAGCCACUUUAUAAUCAGGUCCAGGUACUUCAUUGUUCUUCAUUUCUUUUGUAAUAGAUUUUGGUUCUGAUACUGAGUUUUUCUUAUCUAUAGAGAAGCCACUGAUAUCGGAAACGAUUACAGCUGAUACAGAAGUUCCAGCAGAAAGCACUUUCCCCGUAGCAGGCAACUCCAACAGAGCAUUAGCCGACCUCAUACUUAAAAGCCGACUGCUCGUCUGAUGUCCUGUGCUCUCAGCAACAAAUCUGACAUCCAGGUAUAUAUUAUUAAUCUAUUUAAGAUAGUAAUACGUAAUGCAACUUUCAAGAAAAUCUAGGACAGUCCACCUAGGUUUUUGACUCAAAAGCAGACUUAGUUAUGAAAAAAAACUCACCCGGAAGUCCCUGAUCCAUCGUUCUCUUUCCAUUUGAUAAUGGCUCGAUGAAACUCCGGACGAAUGGAAUCUGACUUUAUGGGCUGCUGCAGUCGAGCUUGCACUCUGCAAAAAGAUUAGACGGUAAUCUACCCUUCCACCAAUGAUCAAUUUAAAAGAAUCAUUAGGAAAAACAUUAACCUCAGUGGAUGGGGGCUUAUCCAUCCUGCAAGCUGGCGGAUUGCAGGGACAACAAAGAGAUUGAAACAAACUAAACAGCUUACAGGAUUUCCUGGUAACCCAAAUGCAAGGACUUUCUUCCCCAUCGAACUUUUAGUUGGUUUUGCAUUGAUCUCAGCAAACGUCAAAGGCUUCCCAGGUUUCAUUAAUACCUGAAGCAAAAAAAAAAAGAAAGAAAUCUUCUCAGUUCGAUCUGUAUAUCAGACUAAACAUCGUCAACUUGUUGAGCUAGUUGAGAAAUCAAUCAGAAGAAUUGGAUAAAAGACUGUCAGAAAACAUAGAAGCCAACUCUUCUGCUUUUAAGUACAUAAAGAAAUAAAUUUCACAGCGAUGAUUGAGCAAACUAAUAUGCUUAUUUACCUUGCUGAAAUGUACUUUCCCUUUCUCUUUGAGCAAUGGCUUGACAAAAUCCCUGUCUCCCAUUGAAACACCACCAGAAGUUAAAAUAAUAUCGACUCCAGAGGAUAUGGCUUCAUCCAAAACUCUCUCAAGCUCUUUUCUAUCAUCUCUGACGAUUCCGAGGUCAACAACUUUGCAUUGCUGCUGCAUCACUGCUGCCACUAACAUUGCUCGAUUACCAAUUUAAAAAAAUUAGUAACCAAAAUCAAAUCUGUAUGCAUCGUUUCCGUAGAGAUCAGUUUGGGGUUGAGUUAAUGUUUUAAUAUCCUUGAUAAAAUUAAGUUCCUGGUUGGUCCUGUUUUUCGAGUAAAAGACAAGAAGGAACAAGUACUUACCUUUAAGCUCUCUUGCAUCAUAACAAAGAGAAGACCGGGUGUUUCUCUCUCGAUCACUUGUUUCGUUGCUUCAGGUGUUAUAUCUCUUGGAGUGAAGCCAGUACCACCUAAAUGCAAGAAGCAACUCCAUCAAAAUAUGAUUACCAAAUCCACGAUACGUAACUAGAUGUUUACAUACCAAGUGUAAGAAUGAGAUCUAUUUCGUCAACAUCGCUCCAUUUCUGAAGAAUGUCUUUGAUUCUUUCAACUUCAUCGGGGACAACAGCUGUUGCAACUACCUUCGCUCCUCCCAGUUUUUCAGACGAGGAAUCAAUCACAGAUACAGCCCUGGGCCCACUGCACGAGGAAAAGUAUACUUGUCAUUACACAUACUCUGAAGUAGAGAAACCAGGGAGGAAAAAAAACUAUCAAGAAAGGGAUUAAAUUGUUUAUGCGGAAUGGCAUCAGGAAGAUAUUUUACCUAAAAGAUGUAGCAAAGCACUGUGGUGCUUCCUUGUCUCACUAUGACAAGGAGCAAUAUUACUUAGCGUGUUACUAUGGCAUCGAAUUAGUGACCUCACCAGUAUAACGAACUGGAGAGAUGUAUCUAGAUGCUCUUUAUAGUGGAGGAGGUUACCGACUCUACAUUACUAAUGUUUGCAUCAAUUAUGCCAAAUUGAGAGAGAAAAUCAACAAGGUUAUUUAAUAUAGACGUUAACAAAUUUAAUGUUUCUAGGUUCAUUUCUUAUCAAAUAGUCAACCCGUAACAGGUCAUCUAAAACAUAAAAGAGUACAAAUAUAUUUACCGGCACGACACACAGAAAUCUCUACAAAGAACACCCAUCAACAAGCUACUUUCGCUAUAUCAUAAGGCAAUACAUGUAGGACAUAUAUGUUUACGAACUUCAUCAAAGUCAAUGUGUUCUAGGACAACGACAACCUCAGCGUUGCCAUUUUUGUUUCAUCUUCUAACAGUGAUCAUUCUUUUAGAGACGUAUAUAAAAGACCUAUCAAUUCCAACAUGCAAGCUCAACUCAUCCAGAUUUGUAACCAUGCAAUCAAGAAAUUUUAACAGUAAGCAUACCUUCGAUCAGGUCCAGCCCCAGCUGAAACAGUAUCACUAACAGUAAGAAUAGCCACUUUAUAAUCAGGUCCAGGUACUUCAUUGUUCUUCAUUUCUUUUGUAAUAGAUUUUGGUUCUGAUACUGAGUUUUUCUUAUCUAUAGAGAAGCCACUGAUAUCGGAAACGAUUACAGCUGAUACAGAAGUUCCAGCAGAAAGCACUUUCCC
rnacentral:lncRNA from 1 species